rnacentral:rRNA from 1 species
GAACGCUGGCGGCAUGCCUUACACAUGCAAGUCGAACGGCAGCGCGGGGCAACCUGGCGGCGAGUGGCGAACGGGUGAGUAAUAUAUCGGAACGUACCCUGGAGUGGGGGAUAACGCAGCGAAAGUUGCGCUAAUACCGCAUACGAUCUAAGGAUGAAAGCAGGGGACCGCAAGGCCUUGUGCUCCUGGAGCGGCCGAUAUCUGAUUAGCUAGUUGGUGGGGUAAAGGCCUACCAAGGCAUCGAUCAGUAGCUGGUCUGAGAGGACGACCAGCCACACUGGAACUGAGACACGGUCCAGACUCCUACGGGAGGCAGCAGUGGGGAAUUUUGGACAAUGGGCGCAAGCCUGAUCCAGCAAUGCCGCGUGAGUGAAGAAGGCCUUCGGGUUGUAAAGCUCUUUUGUCAGGGAAGAAACGGUAUGGGCUAAUAUCCUGUACUAAUGACGGUACCUGAAGAAUAAGCACCGGCUAACUACGUGCCAGCAGCCGCGGUAAUACGUAGGGUGCAAGCGUUAAUCGGAAUUACUGGGCGUAAAGCGUGCGCAGGCGGUUUUGUAAGUCUGUCGUGAAAUCCCCGGGCUCAACCUGGGAAUUGCGAUGGAGACUGCAAGGCUAGAAUCUGGCAGAGGGGGGUAGAAUUCCACGUGUAGCAGUGAAAUGCGUAGAGAUGUGGAGGAACACCGAUGGCGAAGGCAGCCCCCUGGGUCAAGAUUGACGCUCAUGCACGAAAGCGUGGGGAG